AGAGUUUGAUCCUGGCUCAGAUUGAACGCUGGCGGCAGGCCUAACACAUGCAAGUCGAACGGUAACAGGAAGCAGCUUGCUGCUUCGCUGACGAGUGGCGGACGGGUGAGUAAUGUCUGGGAAACUGCCUGAUGGAGGGGGAUAACUACUGGAAACGGUAGCUAAUACCGCAUAACGUCGCAAGACCAAAGAGGGGGACCUUCGGGCCUCUUGCCAUCGGAUGUGCCCAGAUGGGAUUAGCUAGUAGGUGGGGUAACGGCUCACCUAGGCGACGAUCCCUAGCUGGUCUGAGAGGAUGACCAGCCACACUGGAACUGAGACACGGUCCAGACUCCUACGGGAGGCAGCAGUGGGGAAUAUUGCACAAUGGGCGCAAGCCUGAUGCAGCCAUGCCGCGUGUAUGAAGAAGGCCUUCGGGUUG
rnacentral:rRNA from 1 species